rnacentral:rRNA from 1 species
AUUGAACGCUGGCGGCAUGCCUUACACAUGCAAGUCGAACGGCAGCACGGGAGCAAUCCUGGUGGCGAGUGGCGAACGGGUGAGUAAUGUAUCGGAACGUGCCCGGUCGUGGGGGAUAACGUAGCGAAAGUUACGCUAAUACCGCAUACGAUCUAUGGAUGAAAGCGGGGGAUCGCAAGACCUCGCGCGAUUGGAGCGGCCGAUAGCAGAUUAGGUAGUGGGUGGGGUAAAGGCUCACCAAGCCGACGAUCUGUAGCUGGUCUGAGAGGACGACCAGCCACACUGGGACUGAGACACGGCCCAGACUCCUACGGGAGGCAGCAGUGGGGAAUUUUGGACAAUGGGCGCAAGCCUGAUCCAGCAAUGCCGCGUGCAGGACGAAGGCCUUCGGGUUGUAAACUGCUUUUGUACGGAACGAAACGGCUCUUUUUAAUACAGAGGGUUAAUGACGGUACCGUAAGAAUAAGCACCGGCUAACUACGUGCCAGCCGCCGCCGUAA